rnacentral:rRNA from 1 species
GAUGAACGCUAGCUACAGGCUUAACACGUGCAAGUCGCGGGGCAGCAUGGGGGUUGCUUGCAAUCCCCGAUGGCGACCGGCGCACGGGUGAGUAACGCGUAUCCAACCUGCCCUUCACCACGGGAUAACCCGGCGAAAGUCGGACUAAUACCGUAUGUUGUCCAUUGACGGCAUCCGAUUUGGACGAAAGGCUUGGCGGUGAGGGAUGGGGAUGCGUCCGAUUAGCCAGACGGCGGGGUAACGGCCCACCGUGGCUACGAUCGGUAGGGGUUCUGAGAGGAAGGUCCCCCACACUGGAACUGAGACACGGUCCAGACUCCUACGGGAGGCAGCAGUGAGGAAUAUUGGUCAAUGGGCGUAAGCCUGAACCAGCCAAGUAGCGUGCAGGAUGACGGCCCUAUGGGUUGUAAACUGCUUUUAUGCGGGGAUAAAGUGGCCCACGUGUGGGCUUUUGCAGGUACCGCAUGAAUAAGGACCGGCUAAUUCCGUG